UACGUAGGGUGCAAGCGUUGUCCGGAAUUAUUGGGCGUAAAGAGCUCGUAGGCGGUCUGUCGCGUCGGCUGUGAAAACCCGGGGCUCAACCCCGGGCCUGCAGUCGAUACGGGCAGACUAGAGUGCGGCAGGGGAGACUGGAAUUCCUGGUGUAGCGGUGAAAUGCGCAGAUAUCAGGAGGAACACCGGUGGCGAAGGCGGGUCUCUGGGCCGGAACUGACGCUGAGGAGCGAAAGCGUGGGGAGCGAACAGG
rnacentral:rRNA from 1 species